rnacentral:rRNA from 1 species
UACAGAGGGUGCAAGCGUUAAUCGGAAUUACUGGGCGUAAAGGGAGCGUAGGUGGCUCUAUAAGUCAGAUGUGAAAUCCCCGGGCUCAACCUGGGAACUGCAUCUGAAACUGUAGAGCUAGAGUAUGUGAGAGGAAGGUAGAAUUCCAGGUGUAGCGGUGAAAUGCGUAGAGAUCUGGAGGAAUACCGAUGGCGAAGGCAGCCUUCUGGCAUAAUACUGACACUGAGGCUCGAAAGCGUGGGUAGCAAACAGG